UUAAGUCAGUCUAGAUUGCUUUUGAGAAGUGAUAAUUUCUCACUGCUUUUUAGGCAGCCUUUAGACUGAAAGUAUAUUUAUCAUAAAAACUUGAUGCAUUUUGCACUACUCUUUCCAUUUGCAUGCUGCAAAUAACUACAACCUUUUAAAUGUGGACACUCAACAGCUA